CCUACGUGGGGCAGCAGUGGGGAAUAUUGCACAAUGGGGGAAACCCUGAUGCAGCGACGCCGCGUGAGCGAUGAAGUAUUUCGGUAUGUAAAGCUCUAUCAGCAGGGAAGAAGAUGACGGUACCUGACUAAGAAGCCCCGGCUAACUACGUGCCAGCAGCCGCGGUAAUACGUAGGGGGCAAGCGUUAGCCGGAUUUACUGGGGGUAAAGGGAGCGUAGACGGCGAUGCAAGCCAGAUGUGAAAGCCCGGGGCGCAACCCCGGGACUGCAUUUGGAACUGUGUGGCUGGAGUGUCGGAGAGGCAGGCGGAAUUCCUAGUGGAGCGGUGAAAUGCGUAGAUAGUAGGAGGAACACCAGUGGCGAAGGCGGCCUGCUGGACGAUGACUGACGUUGAGGCUCGAAAGCGUGGGGAGCAAACAGGAUUAGAUACCCGAGUAGUC
rnacentral:rRNA from 1 species